rnacentral:rRNA from 1 species
UACGUAGGGUGCGAGCGUUAAUCGGAAUUACUGGGCGUAAAGCGUGCGCAGGCGGUUAUGUAAGACAGAUGUGAAAUGCCCGGGCUUAACCUGGGAACUGCAUUUGUGACUGCACGGCUAGAGUGUGUCAGAGGGGGGUAGAAUUCCACGUGUAGCAGUGAAAUGCGUAGAUAUGUGGAGGAAUACCGAUGGCGAAGGCAGCCCCCUGGGAUAACACUGACGCUCAUGCACGAAAGCGUGGGGAGCAAACAGG